AAAUCCGUCGGAAUUUUUAAAUCGUGAGGGUUCAAGUCCCUCUAUCCCCA
rnacentral:tRNA from 1 species